rnacentral:rRNA from 1 species
GGGCUAGCGUUGUUCGGAAUUACUGGGCGUAAAGCGUGUGUAGGUGGUUGUCAUAGUCAGGGGUGAAAGCCUUGAGCUCAACUCAAGAAAUGCGCUUGAUACUGGGCAGCUAGAGGACCGGAGAGGAUAGUGGAAUUCCCAGUGUAGUGGUGAAAUACGUAGAGAUUGGGAAGAACACCAGUGGCGAAGGCGGCUAUCUGGACGGUUUCUGACACUAAGACUCGAAAGCGUGGGGAGCAAACAGG